rnacentral:rRNA from 1 species
AGAGUUUGAUCCUGGCUCAGAACGAACGCUGGCGGCGUGCCUAACACAUGCAAGUCGAACGGAUCAAGCGAAGAGCAUAGAGCGGAGAGCUAAGAGAAGAAUUCGGACUCUAUGCUCUAAGCUGUAUGCUCUUUGCUUGGUUAGUGGCGGACGGGUGAGUAACACGUAGGCAACCUACCCUUAAGCUGGGGACAACUCAGGGAAACUUGAGCUAAUACCCGAUAAGACCACGGGCUGGGAGGCUUGUGGUAAAAGGAGCGAUUCACUUAGGGAUGGGCCUGCGGCCUAUCAGGUAGUUGGUGAGGUAAUGGCUCACCAAGCCAAAGACGGGUAGCCGGGCUGAGAGGUCGAACGGCCACACUGGAACUGAGACACGGUCCAGACUCCUACGGGAGGCAGCAGUGGGGAAUCUUGCGCAAUGGGGGAAACCCUGACGCAGCGACGCCGCGUGGAGGAUGAAGGCCUUCGGGUUGUAAACUCCUUUUCUUGGGGAAAAUGAUGAUGGUACCCAAGGAAUAAGCCACGGCUAACUCUGUGCCAGCAGCCGCGGUAAGACAGAGGUGGCGAGCGUUGUUCGGAAUUACUGGGCUUAAAGGGCGAGUAGGCGGUGGAACAAGUCUAAGGUGGAAUCCUAUGGCUUAACCAUAGAACUGCCUUAGAAACUGUUUUACUUGAGUCAGUGAGGGGAGGGCGGAAUUCCUGGUGUAGCGGUGAAAUGCGUAGAUAUCAGGAGGAAGGCCUGUGGCGAAGGCGGCCCUCUGGCGCUGUACUGACGCUGAGGCGCGAAAGCGUGGGGAGCAAACAGGAUUAGAUACCCUGGUAGUCC